CCUAGCUCCAGCUGCAAUAGUCGCUGACAUGCAUUGGACGCACCCAGUGAUGGGGAGUGCUGGUGGACAGGAUCUGCGCGUCCUAUCAGAAAGUGAGUCAGACCUUCGGCAGUGAGCCAGUCAAAGAAAUGAGUGAAGCGAUAGUGCCCGUCAUCCUGUCUAUCCUCCGCCAGCCCAGCGUAAAAGAGACGGAGAGCGGAACAGAACAACGACGAACCAUUGAAUCAACAGAGGACGUGUUGGCUCUCCAAUAAGAAGUUUUGCUGUAUCAG